CUUUCCAGAACACGACGGACACGGGGCGGGCCGGCUCCGGAGCGAGUGGCAUUGCGGAUUAUUUAAUUGAACGCGGCGGACGCGGGACGGACCGGCUCCGGAAUGAGUGGCGUCGCAGAGUCUUUAACAGAACAAGGCAGGCGCAUAACGGAUCGAAAGCGGAGCGAGCUGCGUCGCAGCUUGUUUAAUAGUACUCGUUCGAGCGAAGAUCAUAACUUGAUGCGCAUCGCGACACUCGAUCGUGGCGCAUCAAGUUGAUCGCACGGGAGAUGAAAUAGCUUCGCCAUUGCAAUUGCGUUUAUGUCUGCAGAACGCGUUGGACACUUUCACAAGACGCGGGACAGAAUGAUUCAGUAGCAUCGCGACACUUUAAUUGAUUGUGGCGGAUGCGAGACAGAUUUGCUCCGAAAUAAAUGGCAUCACAACUUGUGAGAAGAAGGAAGAAGAGAAGAGAAGAGAGGUUAACAACUCCAAAAAAAAGGCGACCUAGGAAAGGCAUUGAGCAUCGAUGGAGCAACAUAGUGAAUCCGCAGCUGGUUCGUCGCUUCGCACGUUUUACUUCGCAAGUAUCAAGUUAUCGGACUCUUGUAAAUGAUUUUAGUUCGCGUACGAUUUUAGUGUAGUAUCGCGAGUGUUUUUUGCGAGUGUGCAACAGAAGGAGGAGAAGAAAGAAGAGGCUUGCCAAUUAUUCUGAGAGGAGGAGGAGGCCUGGGAGAGGCAUCGGGCCUCAGCGGAGCAAC
rnacentral:lncRNA from 13 species